AGAGUUUGAUCCUGGCUCAGAACGAAUGCUGGCGGCGUGGAUAAGACAUGCAAGUCGAACGAGAGAAUUGCUAGCUUGCUAAUAAUUCUCUAGUGGCGCACGGGUGAGUAACACGUGAGUAACCUGCCCCCGAGAGCGGGAUAGCCCUGGGAAACUGGGAUUAAUACCGCAUAGUAUCGAAAGAUUAAAGCAGCAAUGCGCUUGGGGAUGGGCUCGCGGCCUAUUAGUUAGUUGGUGAGGUAACGGCUCACCAAGGCGAUGACGGGUAGCCGGUCUGAGAGGAUGUCCGGCCACAUUGGAACUGAGACACGGUCCAGACACCUACGGGUGGCAGCAGUCGAGAAUCAUUCACAAUGGGGGAAACCCUGAUGGUGCGACGCCGCGUGGGGGAAUGAAGGUCUUCGGAUUGUAAACCCCUGUCAUGUGGGAGCAAAUUAAAAAGAUAGUACCACAAGAGGAAGAGACGGCUAACUCUGUGCCAGCAGCCGCGGUAAUACAGAGGUCUCAAGCGUUGUUCGGAAUCACUGGGCGUAAAGCGUGCGUAGGCUGUUUCGUAAGUCGUGUGUGAAAGGCGCGGGCUCAACCCGCGGACGGCACAUGAUACUGCGAGACUAGAGUAAUGGAGGGGGAACCGGAAUUCUCGGUGUAGCAGUGAAAUGCGUAGAUAUCGAGAGGAACACUCGUGGCGAAGGCGGGUUCCUGGACAUUAACUGACGCUGAGGCGCGAAGGCCAGGGGAGCGAAAGGGAUUAGAUACCCCUGUAGUCCUGGCAGUAAACGGUGCACGCUUGGUGUGCGGGGAAUCGACCCCCUGCGUGCCGGAGCUAACGCGUUAAGCGUGCCGCCUGGGGAGUACGGUCGCAAGAUUAAAACUCAAAGAAAUUGACGGGGACCCGCACAAGCGGUGGAGUAUGUGGCUUAAUUCGAUGCAACGCGAAGAACCUUACCUGGGCUUGACAUGUAAUGAACAACAUGUGAAAGCAUGCGACUCUUCGGAGGCGUUACACAGGUGCUGCAUGGCCGUCGUCAGCUCGUGUCGUGAGAUGUUUGGUUAAGUCCAGCAACGAGCGCAACCCCUGUUGCCAGUUACCAGCACGUGAAGGUGGGGACUCUGGCGAGACUGCCCAGACCAACUGGGAGGAAGGUGGGGACGACGUCAGGUCAGUAUGGCCCUUAUGCCCAGGGCUGCACACGUACUACAAUGCCCAGUACAGAGGGGGCCGAAGCCGCGAGGCGGAGGAAAUCCUAAAAACUGGGCCCAGUUCGGACUGUAGGCUGCAACCCGCCUACACGAAGCCGGAAUCGCUAGUAAUGGCGCAUCAGCUACGGCGCCGUGAAUACGUUCCCGGGUCUUGCACUCACCGCCCGUCA
rnacentral:rRNA from 1 species